AGCGGCGGACGGGUGAGUAACGCGUGGGCAACCUGCCUCACACAGGGGGAUAACAGUUAGAAAUGACUGCUAAUACCGCAUAAGACCACGAAACCGCAUGGUUUUGAGGUAAAAACUCCGGUGGUGUGAGAUGGGCCCGCGUCUGAUUAGGUAGUUGGUGCGGUAACGGCGCACCAAGCCGACGAUCAGUAGCCGACCUGAGAGGGUGACCGGCCACAUUGGGACUGAGACACGGCCCAAACUCCUACGGGAGGCAGCAUG
rnacentral:rRNA from 1 species